rnacentral:rRNA from 1 species
CCUACGGGAGGCAGCAGUAGGGAAUCUUCCACAAUGGGCGAAAGCCUGAUGGAGCAACGCCGCGUGGGUGAAGAAGGUCUUCGGAUCGUAAAACCCUGUUGUUAGAGAAGAAAGUGCGUGAGAGUAACUGUUCACGUUUCGACGGUAUCUAACCAGAAAGCCACGGCUAACUACGUGCCAGCAGCCGCGGUAAUACGUAGGUGGCAAGCGUUAUCCGGAUUUAUUGGGCAUAAAGGGAACGCGGGCGGUCUUUUAAGUCUGAUGUGAAAGCCUUCGGCUUAACCGGAGUAGUGCAUUGGAAACUGGGAGACUUGAGUGCAGAAGAGGAGAGUGGAACUCCAUGUGUAGCGGUGAAAUGCGUAGAUAUAUGGAAGAACACCAGUGGCGAAAGCGGCUCUCUGGGCUGUAACUGACGCUGAGGUUCGAAAGCGUGGGUAGCAAACAGGAUUAGAUACCCCGGUAGUC